GAUGAACGCUGGCGGCGUGCCUAAUACAUGCAAGUCGAACGCAUAGCGAAAGGUGCUUGCCCCUUUCAAGUGAGUGGCGAACGGGUGAGUAACACGUGGACAACCUGCCUCAAGGCUGGGGAUAACAUUUGGAAACAGAUGCUAAUACCGAAUAAAGCUUAGUGUCGCAUGACACAAAGUUAAAAGGCGCUUCGGCGUCACCUAGAGAUGGAUCCGCGGUGCAUUAGUUAGUUGGUGGGGUAAAGGCCUACCAAGACAAUGAUGCAUAGCCGAGUUGAGAGACUGAUCGGCCACAUUGGGACUGAGACACGGCCCAAACUCCUACGGGAGGCUGCAGUAGGGAAUCUUCCACAAUGGGCGAAAGCCUGAUGGAGCAACGCCGCGUGUGUGAUGAAGGCUUUCGGGUCGUAAAGCACUGUUGUAUGGGAAGAACAGCUAGAAUAGGAAAUGAUUUUAGUUUGACGGUACCAUACCAGAAAGGGACGGCUAAAUACGUG
rnacentral:rRNA from 1 species